rnacentral:rRNA from 1 species
CUAGCAACACCGCGUGUGCGAAGAAGGCCUUCGGGUCGUAAAGCACUUUUUGGAAGGAAAGGAAGGAAUGUACUUUCCAGAGUAAGUCUCGGCUAACUACGUGCCAGCAGCCGCGGUAACACGUAGGAGGCAAACGUUAUCCGGAUUUACUGGGCGUAAAGCGCGUGUAGGUGGUACUGUAAGUAGGGCGUGAAAGCUCCUGGCUCAACUGGGAGAGGCCGUUCUAAACUACAGAACUAGAGGAUGGUAGAGGGAGGUGGAAUUCCAGGUGUAGCGGUGGAAUGCGCAGAUAUCUGGAGGAACACCGGUGGCGAAGGCGGCCUCCUGGACCAUUCCUGACACUCAGACGCGAAAGCUAGGGUAGCAAACGGGAUUAGAGACCCCGGUAGUCCUAGCCCUAAACGAUGUAGACUAGGCGUCGGAAGCUUAAUCGCUUUCGGUGUCCCAAGCUAACGCGAUAAGUCUACCGCCUGGGGACUACGGCCGCAAGGUUAAAAACUCAAAUGAAUUGACGG